GACGAACGCUGGCGGCGUGCCUAAUACAUGCAAGUCGAACGCAGUGGGGACGGGUGAGUAACACGUGGGUAACCUCCCAUCACAGGGGAUAACACUUGGAAACAGGUGCUAAACCGAUCCUGAUGGAUGAACCCGCGGUGCAUUAGCUAGUUGGUGAGGUAACGGCUCACCAAGGCCACGAUGCAUAGCCCAGCGUAGAGGGUGAUCGGCCACACGGAGACUGUGACCCGCGCCAGACUCCUACGGGAGGCCGCAGUAGGUAUUCUUCGGCAAUGGACGAAAGUCGGACCGAGAGACGCCGCGUGAGUGAAGAAGGUUUUCGGAUCGUAAAACUCUGUUGUUAGAGAAGCGGUAUCUAACCAGAAAGCCACGGCUAACUACGUGCCAGCAGCCGCGGUAAUUC
rnacentral:rRNA from 1 species